UGGGGAAUAUUGCACAAUGGGCGCAAGCCUGAUGCAGCCAUGCCGCGUGUGUGAAGAAGGCCUUCGGGUUGUAAAGCACUUUCAGCGGGGAGGAAGGCGGUGAGGUUAAUAACCUCGUCGAUUGACGUUACCCGCAGAAGAAGCACCGGCUAACUCCGUGCCAGCAGCCGCGGUAAUACGGAGGGUGCAAGCGUUAAUCGGAAUUACUGGGCGUAAAGCGCACGCAGGCGGUUGAUUGAGUCAGAUGUGAAAUCCCCGGGCUUAACCCGGGAAUUGCAUCUGAUACUGGUCAGCUAGAGUCUUGUAGAGGGGGGUAGAAUUCCAUGUGUAGCGGUGAAAUGCGUAGAGAUGUGGAGGAAUACCGGUGGCGAAGGCGGCCCCCUGGACGAAGACUGACGCUCAGGUGCGAAAGCGUGGGGAGCAAACAGG
rnacentral:rRNA from 1 species